UUUUAAAAAUUUUAUUUACUUCUACCAUUAAAAACGGGUGUGACAACAGAGUAAUCAGACAGUUACAUAUGAAAUGUCAUUUGUACCUCAUUUCAACAUACAUAAGCCAGUUUUUAAUCGUUGAAAUAGAUGUGAUUUUUAACA
rfam:Gossypium raimondii Chr01_contig_16, whole genome shotgun sequence.